UAAAUGUAUAUCACUCUUUUCUUUUUGCCUUUAUGGGGGUUUGAUUUUUGAGUGUUUUGCAAAGGAAAUAUAGAAAUAAAAAACAUUUUUAUUUUGCUCGCUUCCUUAUCCUAGAAUUUUGUUCUAUUUUAUUAUAACAUAUCGAAACAUUGAAAUGGAGGAUUUAUUCUAUUAUGAUCUGUUUUACUUUAUUCCAUUUCAUUAUUAUCUUCCUGUCUUAUCUCUUUCUAUUUAUUCAAACAUAGGCAGGACUGUUAGAUAAAUUUAUUUAUAAUUACUUAUAAAAAAGAAAAUAAGAAGAUAAAAUGAAAAAAACUUUUGUACUUCAGCUUUUGGAUAAGUUAGAUGAGACGAGUUUCUAUAAAAGUUAAACUUAUAAGUUAAUUUUAAUUUAUGGGAGAAGUGCAAUUUAUUUUACCUUUUUAUUUUGUUUUCCUAUAAACACUUAGGGCCAUAGUCUUCGUUUUCAACAAUUGAGAGGUUCAGUGUUAAUUAGCAUGGUAUGGAAUGCUUCGUUAGUCAUAUUCAAUUCAUCUCUUAAUCAAAGACUAUCACUGCUCUGAUAGAUGGCAUUUAAAUGUUCUUAUAUUUGUUUUCCACUUGGAAAGUUAAAUCUCAGAAAAUUUAUGUGUAGCUUGAGUGUUGAAAGAGUGGUUUCACUGCCAGACAGUAGCGAUGCAAGAUUAAUGAGUUAGGAUUUAUGGUCAUUUUGGUGCUUCAUUGGUUUUGUCUGUCAGAUUGGGAAUUUAGAAUGCACAUUGUCAGUGUACUCCCUGCACAAUCAAGUGGUUUAUUUGCUAUUACUUGAGUUAAUACCACAGCAAUCAAUAUUAGUUCUCAUAAUAGUUUUUUGAAGCUGAAUUUUCUUUUUCAACUUGAAUAUGCUUUUGUACUGGUGUUUUACUUAGUAUUUGGGAAUGAGGAAAAUGGGAUGGCUGUUUCAAAGUGGAACAUUUGGUAGUUGUUUGAACCAGUGCCUCUGCUAUCCUAUUUUAGUUUUCUGUUAAACUACAUUUGAUGGCAUGAUUUUAUCGAUGCUUUGACGACUGUGUUGAAAUGAUUAUAGGUUCAUCUAAUCAUUUGAUCUAAUAUAGGUGAUACUCGUUUAAGAAUCAAUCUUUAUAUACGAAAAAAACUUUAGUCCCUAUACACCACCCUUAUUAGCCUAUAUUGGUCCUUAUUGUUACUAUGUUUCUAGAAAAACUUGAGCUUUAGUUCCAUACAUUCUUAUAGGGACUAAAACUUCUUUUUUUUUUUUUUCAUAAAGGGAUUGAUUCUUAAACGAGUGUCACUUAUGGAGACCAAAUAAUUAAUUAAACCAUGAUUAUAUUUGAACGAUGCAUGUGAUGAUAUCACUAGCAUGAAGCUUCAUAGGUGGAAUAUGAACCAAAAUUUUUAACUCAAGGUCUUUUUGUAUGACUGCCACAUUGUGUGGAAUUUGGCUUCUCCAAUUUGCAUAUUAUGGCAAUCACUUCAAAUCUGUAAAAUCCAUGCAGAUUGAUAGCUUGCAAAAUCUAAUUUGUGGAAGUAAAGGGAAUGACUAGAGUCAAUUCUGCCCCCACCCCCUUUUUUCCUUUUCUUUUUCUAAGAUCUAUUUUGGUUCAUUUGUGUAUCACUUAUAUUGGGUUUUUCGUUCUUCCAGCUUCGGAAAUGAAAAUUCUUGUUGCAAAUGAAAAAUGAAAGAAUUUCUGAUGGUGGCACUAAGAGCCACAAGAGAAUAUCCUAGGGUUUAAAAGUCUACUAGAGAGAAGAUAAAAUGUGCAAUUAAAAGAUAUCCGUUCAUUCAUAUGUGCUCCAGCAACAACAAAACAUUAAGUAGUCUCACACUAUGGGCUAAUAAUAAAACAGGUAACUACUUGGGGCCAAAUUAGGAAAUAAAAGGGAAUAUAAUAUAUCCUAAUUAAUAAUAGUCCUUGGACUAGAAAGGCUUGAAAAUGAGACGUUUGGGCCUUGGGGUAGCUGGGUCCAACCCGUUAUCAAUACCCCCAUCUUUAGAAGGGACCUUGUCCUCAAGGUCGACAGACACAUGGCGUGUGUUGGUAGGCUGAUCCAGAAGCAUGCAGAUUGUGCUUUUUGGGAACGACCUAGAUGAGUGCGACACAUUCAACUGUGAGGAAGGAGCUAACAAGAAACAAGUUGGUGGGGCAGAAGCGGGUUCCCAAAAUGCGUCUUUGGGAAGAGAUGCGUCAAGUGGUCGGUCCAACAGAGACGAGACAUGUGUCAAUGAUGGAAGUGAUCGGAGCAACUUUCAAUGGUGCAGAUUGUUCCGACCCUUUUUGACUGAAACUGAAGAGAAAUGGUGAGAUGAAGUAAGUUGUGUACUUGGAAAGAUCUCAUUUUAACUUUAGGUGAGUUAGGAGAAGAGAAAGGAAGUGGAGAGUCUCUUGGAUUUCCUGAGUUGAGGGAGAUCAUUGCCGAUAAGAACAUGGUGGUGAACGGUGGUUGGGUGCCACCAUAGGGUCUCAGCAUGGAGACGUGCACUACUGGAUGAAUGCGCGAAUCCGGAGGAAUACACAACUCAUAAGCCACAUAACCAAUCCUUUGAAGGAUUUUGAAAGGCCCAAAGAAGCAUUUGGAAAGCUUUUGAGAAGAACGACAAACAACAGUUUGUUGGCGAUAUGGUUGAAGUUUGAGCCAAACAAAGGCACUAGGCUCAAAGUUGUCCCUUGAACAUAAUCAAGCAGUGUGGGAGGGGGAUGACCAUACAAGGCCGUGAAAGGUGGCAUGUCGAUGGAUGAAUGGAAGGCUGUAUUAUACCACAACUUAGCAAGGUGGAGAAACUUGAACCAGCAACGUGGGCGUUCACUUAUAAAACAUCACAAGGUGGCUCCUUGGACGUGAAAAAAGUUCUUUUCAGAAGGCACUCAUAAAAAGAGGGUUGUGGUCUGAGGUGAUAGUUUUGGGAAUGCCAUGCAGACGAGCGAUUUCACAAAGAAACGAGAGGUCACGUUUUGAGCUGUGAAUUUGGCAGGCAGAGCUACAAAAUGAGUUGACUGGGACAAACGAUCACAAACAACCUAGGUAGUAGUAUGACCCAAAAAGGUAGGUAAAUGAGUGGUGAAAUCCAUCGUCAAAUCUUCCCAAACUUUCUUUGGUAUAGGUAAGGGUUGUAAUAGCCCCAUUUGUUUCUGUGGUGGGUAUUUGUUAUGUUGGCAAAUAACACAUAAGUGAAGGAACUACUUAGUAUCCUUGUACAUGUUGGGCCAAAAAAAAGAAGUAGCCAAGCGGGCCAUGGUGGGUUUGAUGCUGGAGUGGCUCAAAGUGGGAGUGCAAUGAUUUUCUAGGAUCAAAGAGUUGCACAAAUCUUUGAAAUCCAGGAUGAAGAGUUGCUCCCGAACAUAUAAGAGACUGUCUUGUAUCUUAGACACAACAACUAUAGAAGUGUUAAAAGUGUACUGAGUGAGGAGAGCUAUCAGUAGAAUAAAACUAUUGCAAAUGCCCUAUCAACGAUGGAAUGGGAGAUGAGGUGAAAGACAACAAGAAGGCCUCUUCUUGCUGAUGGGAAAGAGCAUCCACAACUAUGUUAGACUUGUCAGGUUUAUACAGAAUGUCAAAGUUAUAACCUUGUAAUUUACAAGUCAAUUUUUGUUGAUCGGGGGUCUAAAUUGUUUGUGACAACAAAUUCCUUAAACUUUUCUUGUCUGUGAAAAUUUGAAAUUUCUUCCAUAUCAAAUAUUAACACCAUUUUUAUGGCGUUUGUGACAACAUACAUUUACCGAAUGCAAGCAAAGGCGACACACAUCUGAGGAUUCAUCUUCUUGCAGAAAAAGGCUAGCAUAUGAUUAUCUUGGCAAAUGAUAGCUCCAACAGCCAUCAUAGAAGCGUCUGUUUCUAUUGUGAAUAAUUUUGUAAAAUCUGGCAAGGAUAGCACUAAGGCUUCUGUUAUUUUUGUUUUUAACUGUGUAAAAGCCUCAAAUGCUCUUGUAUUCCAAGAAAAAGCAUUGUGACGCAACAAAUCGAUGAAGGGAGUGGCAAGAGAGGCAUGAUGUUUAAUAAACCGCCUGUAAAACCCAGUGAGGCCAAGAAAUCCUUUGAGUGCCAUGAGAGAUUGUGGCUUCUACUAGUUUAAAAAUACUUACACUUUCUUUGAAUUUGGGGCGAUACCUAACUUGGAAAUCACUUGUCCUAGAUACUGCACAUUAUCCACAACAAAGACAUAUUUAGGUAAUUUAGCAAAGAAUUGAUUAGAAACAAGUAAGUUUAAGUGAGCUAAAUGAGAAUACGAAUUGUUGUAGAUUAGAAUAUCAUAAACAACAACUAGAACAAGUUUCCUAAGGUAGGGUCUUAGCAAGUCAUUCAUAGAUUAUUAAAAGGUAGAGGGAGCACUAGUAAGCCCAAAAGGAAUUACUAGGAACUCAUAGUGCUCGUCGCAAGUGUGGAAAUCAAUCUUGUGGGUGUCCUUAGGGAUGACCCUAAUUUGAUGGUAGGCAUAGCGGAGAUCAAUCUUAGUGAAAAUGGAUGCUUCAUCCAGUUCGUCCAAUAACUCAUCCACUAUAGGAACAUGAAAGUGGUCCUUCAUUGUGAUUGCAUUAAGAGCUACAUAAUCUACACAAAAGUGUCAAGUCCCAUCUUUUUUUUUUGCACUAGUAGGAUUGGGGAUGAGUAAGGGUUGUGAUUAGGAGUAGUGAUGCCAUCUUUUAGCAUUUCCUGUAUAAGAGUGGUCAUAAUUUCUUUUUGGUAAUGAGGGUAAUGGUAAGGUUUAACGUUAACAAGGGUGGUGUUGGGUAAGAGUGGAAUAUGAAGGUCAUGAGGUCUAGAAAGGGGAAGGCCUUUGGGUUGGUGAAAUAAUGUGGGUAAGAGGAUAAAAGUGCAGUAAGAUCGGGUGGUAGUGGUUCAGGUGGAGUGUUUUGGGUGGGUUUGGAUUGUAACAAGUGUAGAGAUGCAAUGGCAUCAAAGUUGCGUAAGUUACACAUUUGGUAGAGGUUGGCUGUUUGGGUGGGUGAAAGGGUGGUGCCACAUAGGGUCACAAGGGAUUAAUCAAGGGUAAAGUAAGUUGUAGAAUGACAAAGUUUGCACUGACCGUGCCUAAGGUAGAAAGCCACUCUAAUCCCAAAACUAUGUCAGCGCCUUCUAUAGGAAACAAGUAACAAGGAACGUAGAAUGUGUGACCUUGAAUCUACAGCUGCUCUUGGGGGCAUAGACGAGCACAUGCUAUUUUGGUCUUAUUACCAACCAUAAUAGAGGAGGGUUGUGUAGGGAGUGUGGGUAAUUGCAAGUGAGAAGCAAUCCUUGGCUACAAUAUAUUAUGGGAACUCCUUGUGUCAAUUUAAACCUACAUAGUAAGGCCACCUAGCAAACUAGAGAAUUUCAAAGAUUUGAGAGAUGGUUGUCCCAGAAUAGCCUGAGGAGAUAAGUGAAAAUGAAUUGGUUCCCUCUAGAAAGUGGGGAAGGGAACCUUUGUGUCUGUGAGGUCUACAACAUCACAGUCUUUAUCCACCAAUAGUAGAAAAUGACCUGAUUGACAUUUGUGGCCAAUAACUAUUUUUUCAUCACAAUAAUAGUAAAGACCUUGUGGUCAGCGUUCGUGCAUAUAAGCAACAAAGAUGGGCUUAAGGGAAGUAUGGUGGGUGUUGUUGCCAUGGUUUGUGGUUGUAAUGAGGGAAGUGUUUGAGUUAGGGACAUUGGUGGUUAUAGGGCUAGGUUUAUGGAAGUAUAUGCAGAAGAACUCACUGUAGCACGAUAGGACUUAGGUCUAGCAUCUUGUAAUUUAUUCUCCACUAGUUUGGCUAAGCCUAUCGCACGAGAAAUUGGGUAGGGAUGUAAAAUGAUAAAUUCUCUACGAAUUUCUGGCAACAAUACAAAGAUAAAACAAUUCAGAAUCUCAACAAUAAGACUAGUGACACGAUUGCUCAAUUUCUCAAAAGCAGUUCGAUAAUCUGAAACAGAGCUUGUCUAUCGUAGCUUAAAUAAUUUUGCUUGAUGAUUUGCAUAAGUGGAGGGGGCCCAAUCUCAAUUCCAAAGCUCUAGUAAAUGAAGGCCAAUCACUUAAUUGAAAAUUUUGGGACAUCCAUUUAAACUAGCUAAAAGUUUCCCAUUUCAUAUAAAAAGGUGCUAAGGAUAAAUGGUGUUCAAGAGGUAUCUAAUAAUACAAAAAAUACUAAUAUGCUUGAAACAACCAAUCUAAUUGAUCUAAACCAUCAAAAGGGGAUAGUUGGAUUUUGGGUUGGUGGGGAAUUUAGGGGCUGUUUAGGAAAAGUUGUGAGCGAAAUGUGUUAUCAAAGGAAGAGAGCAAUAACACCCUGGCUAUCAUUGUCGUUUCCUUUUGCAAUGCACUUGAUCAUAGCGUUACCACACGCGACCAUCGUGAAGUCGAAACAGAACCACCAUGGCUUUUGCACAAGGGUUUCGAACCCCCCUAACCCCCCUAUCUCCUGUGUGUGACCUUGGUGUUACUGCAAAAUCCAUGUUUCUUUCUUCUUCUUUUUUUUCUUUCUACACUUACAUCUUUCCCACAGCAAGCCCAAAUCACUAGGGCCCAAACUGCACUCAUGUGUUAUUUCUUUUCUAAACCCACCUCGUGUUUUAACAAUUGUUUUGUUUUUAUACUGUGUCAUCAAGUUGUUUUGAGGUUUGGAUUUGAGGUCACAACACCUUGAGGACAGGGUAUUUUUGAUGGGCCAGAGGAUGUUAUGAAAGGAAGAGAGCAACAACAAUGGGUACAACAAGCAAUUAACACUAAUACAAAGAUGCAACAAGCAGACACAAGGGAGACAAGCACAAAUCAGAGGCCCAAAAGGAGAAUCAUCAAACCUCAACAUUUGAAAGAUUUCAUAUAACCAAUUCUGACCAGGAAUGCUGAGCUAGCAUAACUUAAUUGGCCAAAUGAGCAUAUGUUGUCUGCCAUAUAUGUUUCUAUCUGUUAUUUGCUAAAUUCCAUUAGUGUUGUUAGUACAAUUUGUUAGAAUUUAGUUAACAAUUUUUCAUAUUUUGGUGCUUAUAUAUGAAUGAAUCAUGUAAUGGAAAUCAAGCAAAAAAAUAAUACAAGUCUUUCCUUCCUUCACCUUUUUCUUAGGAGGUUUCUAGGCCUCGAA